GGCAUGGUGGUUUAGUGGUUAUCACUGUUGCAUCGCACCUCCAGAGUUGGGGGUUCGAAUCUCUCCUCCCCAUGCCU